UACGGAGGGUGCAAGCGUUAUUCGGAGUUACUGGGCGUAAAGCGCACGUAGGUGGUUUGCUAAGCCAGCUGUGAAAUCCCCGGGCUCAACCUGGGCAUUGCAGUUGGAACUGGCAAGCUAGAGUAGGGUAGAGGGGUGUGGAAUUCCAGGUGUAGCGGUGAAAUGCGUAGAUAUCUGGAGGAACAUCAGUGGCGAAGGCGACACCCUGGACUCAUACUGACACUGAGAUGCGAAAGCGUGGGGAGCAAGCAGG
rnacentral:rRNA from 1 species